UUCAUACUCCCUCCAUCCCGAAUUACUUGUCGCAGAAAUGGAUGUAUCUAGAACUAAAAAUACGCCUAGAUACAUCCAUUUCUGCGACAGGUAAUUCGGGACGGAUGGAGCAGUAU
rfam:Triticum aestivum genome assembly, contig: Triticum_aestivum_CS42_TGACv1_scaffold_501922_6BL